rnacentral:rRNA from 1 species
ACGUUGGCGGCGUGGAUUAGGCAUGCAAGUCGUGCGAGAAGUCUUUUGCUUGCAUUAGACGGACAGCGGCGUAAGGGAGAGUAACGCGUGGAUACCUACCCCCGAGUCCGGGACAGCUGCGGGAAACUGCAGGUAAUACCGGAUAAUAUCUCCGGAUCAAAGGUGUGAUUCCGCUUGGGGAUGGGUCCGCGUCCUAUUAGCUUGUUGGUGGGGUAACGGCCUACCAAGGCUACGAUGGGUACCGGGCGUGAGAGCGUGGCCCGGCUCACUGGGACUGAGACACUGCCCAGACACCUACGGGUGGCUGCAGUCGAGAAUCUUCGGCAAUGGGCGAAAGCCUGACCGAGCGACGCCGCGUGCGGGAUGAAGGCCUUCGGGUUGUAAACCGCUGUCAGAGGGGAUGAAAUGCCGGGUAGUAAUUCAUAAUCUAUUCGGUUUGACAUAUCCUCAGAGGAAGGACGGGCUAAGUUCGUGCCAGCAGCCGCGGUAAGACGAACCGUCCAAACGUUAUUCGGAAUCACUGGGCUUAAAGGGUGCGUAGGCGGCCCGGCAAGUUGGGUGUGAAAGCCCUCGGCUCAACCGAGGAAUUGCGCCCAAAACUGCCGGACUUGAGGGAGACAGAGGCGAGCGGAACUUGCGGUGGAGCGGUGAAAUGCGUUGAUAUCGCAAGGAACACCAGUGGCGAAGGCGGCUCGCUGGGUCUCUUCUGACGCUGAGGCACGAAAGCUAGGGGAGCGAACGGGAUUAGAUACCCCG